GCAUAAAUCAUAGUGGUAUCCUGAGUAGUGCGGGACACGUGUAAUCCUGUAUGAAUUUGCCGGGACCAUCCGGUAAGGCUAAAUACUCCUGAGAGACCGAUAGUGAACCAGUACCGUGAGGGAAAGGUGAAAAGAACCCUGAAUAAGGGAGUGAAAUAGAUCCUGAAACCAUACGCUUACAAGCGGUCGGAGCCCUUUAGGGGGUGACGGCGUGCCUUUUGCAUAAUGAGCCUACGAGUUACCGUUGCUAGCAUGGUUAAUCCGUUCAGCGGAGGAUCCGAAGCGAAAGCGAGUCUGAAUAGGGCGAAUAAGUUAGUAGUGGUAGACGCGAAACCGAGUGAUCUACCCAUGAGCAGGUUGAAGCUUUGUUAACCCAAAGUGGAGGACCGAACCCGUUGACGUUGAAAAGUCUUGGGAUGACUUGUGGGUAGGGGUGAAAGGCCAAUCAAACUCGGAAAUAGCUCGUACUCCCCGAAAUGCAUUUAGGUGCAGCGUAUUAUUAGUUUUAUAGAGGUAGAGCUACUGAUUGGAUGCGGGGGCUUCACCGCCUACCAAUUCCUGACAAACUCCGAAUGCUAUAAAAUGAUGUAAUGCAGUGAGGGCAUGGGUGCUAAGGUCCAUGUCCGAGAGGGAAAGAACCCAGACCAUCAGCUAAGGUCCCCAAGUGUAUACUAAGUUGACCAAACGUGGUCCGAUUGCUUUGACAGCUAGGAUGUUGGCUUGGAAGCAGCCAUUCAUUUAAAGAGUGCGUAACAGCUCACUAGUCGAGCGAUCCGGCAUGGAUAAUAAUCGGGCAUAAACAUACUACCGAAGCUAUGGAAUAAUUUAUUAUUGGUAGGGGAGCAUUCUAUAGGCGCCGAAGGUGAGUCGUGAGGCUUGCUGGAGCGUAUAGAAAAGAAAAUGUAGGCAUAAGUAACGAUAAUGCGGGCGAGAAACCCGCACACCGAAAGACUAAGGUUUCCUCAGCUAUGCUAAUCAGCUGAGGGUUAGUCGGGACCUAACGCGAACCCGAAAGGGGUAGUGGAUGGACAACAGGUUAAUAUUCCUGUACCUGCUCACACUAAAAGUGACGGAUUUGAAUAUUUGGUGCGUACUGACGGAAUAGUACGUUGAAGCGAGUGGUGACACCGCGAUAGUACACUAAGGCUACGGCUGCGGUGAUAAUCCAGAGAAUCAAGUUCCAAGAAAAGCGAGUGAAGCAGCCCGUACCCUAAACCGACACAGGUAGUUGGGAUGAGAAUUCUAAGGUGCUCGAGAGAUUCAUGGCUAAGGAACUAGGCAAAAUCGACCCGUAACUUCGGGAGAAGGGUCGCCCAUCUUCGGAUGGGCCGCAGUGAAUAGGUCCAGGCGACUGUUUAUCAAAAACACAGGGCUCUGCUAAAUCGAAAGAUGAUGUAUAAGGCCUGACACCUGCCCGGUGCUGGAAGGUUAAGGAAGGUUGUUAGUCUUCGGACAAAGCAAUUGACUGAAGCCCCAGUAAACGGCGGCCGUAACUAUAACGGUCCUAAGGUAGCGAAAUUCCUUGUCGGGUAAGUUCCGACCUGCACGAAUGGUGCAACGAUCUGGACACUGUCUCAGCCAUGAGCUCGGUGAAAUUGUAGUAUCGGUGAAGAUGCCGAUUACCCGCU
rnacentral:rRNA from 1 species